GACUACUGGGGGCAGCAGUGGGGAAUAUUGGACAAUGGGGGCAACCCUGAUCCAGCCAUGCCGCGUGUGUGAAGAAGGCCCUCGGGUUGUAAAGCACUUUCAGUGAGGAAGAACGCCUGGUGGUUAAUACCCAUCAGGAAAGACAUCACUCACAGAAGAAGCACCGGCUAACUCCGUGCCAGCAGCCGCGGUAAUACGGAGGGUGCGAGCGUUAAUCGGAAUUACUGGGCGUAAAGCGCGCGUAGGUGGCUUGAUAAGCCGGUUGUGAAAGCCCCGGGCUCAACCUGGGAACGGCAUCCGGAACUGUCAAGCUAGAGUGCAGGAGAGGAAGGUAGAAUUCCCGGUGUAGCGGUGAAAUGCGUAGAGAUCGGGAGGAAUACCAGUGGCGAAGGCGGCCUUCUGGACUGACACUGACACUGAGGUGCGAAAGCGUGGGUAGCAAACAGGAUUAGAUACCCGGGUAGUC
rnacentral:rRNA from 1 species